GAUGAAGAACGCAGCGAAAUGCGAUAAGUAGUGUGAAUUGCAGAAUUCAGUGAAUCAUCGAAUCUUUGAACGCACAUUGCGCCCCUUGGUAUUCCAUGGGGCAUGCCUGUUCGAGCGUCAUUUGUACCUUCAAGCCUUGCUUGGUGUUGGGUGUUUGUCUCGCCUCUGCGCGCAGACUCGCCUCAAAACAAUUGGCAGCCGGCGUAUUGAUUUCGGAGCGCAGUACAUCUCGCGCUUUGCACUCAGAACGACGACGUCCAAAAGUACAUUUUUACACUCUUGACCUCGGAUCAGGUAGGGAUACCCGCUGAACUUAAGCAUAUCAUAGCGGAGGA
rnacentral:misc_RNA from 1 species